rnacentral:lncRNA from 1 species
CUAGACGGAAGCGGUCACCUCGAGCAAUCCCUUGGUGAUUGAGGAGCUCGGGGCUUGGAUUGGGAGCCUCCGAUUGAGUUGUGGAGUUUGCCCCGGUCAAGUUUCUAAGGGUUCGGCGUUCGCCCUCAAGGAAGCCAUUAGUGGAACUCACCUCACCUUUGUGGUGUUGUGAGAGCUCAUCCCACCUUUGUGGUGUGGUGAGUUGGAGAAUAGAGUGAGCCUUCGUGGCGUCUCUACCUUUGUGGUAAAGCACUCAUCCAAACAGAGACGUACACCGAUCCCAAUAGGUGGAACUCCGGUGAAAUCUUCGUCUCCACGUGUGGUACCUUUUCCCCUUUACAUUCUUGCUAUAUAUUGUUGCUUCGGCUAUUGCAUUUCAUUCUAGGGUUGCAUUCACUUUAGAGAAUUUAGUAAACCCUAGGAUUAGGUGUUUGCAUCUUUCAAGAAAAGAAAAAGAAAAAGAAAAAUUUGUUAGUCGCCUAUUCAAUCAUACCGAUCUUUCAAUUGGUACCAGAGCCUCGUCUCUUAAUUAAGGCUUUACCGCUCUUAAGAGUAUGGUCGGCGAUGAUGGGGAACCCACAAUGAAACCCCAAGAAAUCGAGGUGAUAGAUGAUAAUGCUCCACUAACUUUCAAAUCCAUC